rnacentral:rRNA from 1 species
GGUAACAGUGUGCGAGCAGCGGGGUGAAGAGGGAGGGCGCAGUGGGUUGCCGGAAGUAGUGGGCGUAAAGCGCGCGUAGGCGGCUGGGCGCGUCUGCUGGUAAAUCCCGGGGCGUAACCCCGGGCGUGCAGUGGAUACGGGCCGGCUGGAGGCAGGCAGGGGAGAAUGGAAUUCCCGGUGUAGCGGUGAAAUGCGCAGAUAUCGGGAGGAACACCGGUGGCGAAGGCGGUUCUCUGGGCCUGUACUGACGCUGAGGAGCGAAAGCGUGGGGAGCGAACAGGAUUAGAUACCCCUGUAGUC